GGUAAAAUUUUCCAUUACAAGGUUUUAAGAGAGGCCAUUUACUGUUCAAUUUGCGUUCAUUUUCAAAUUUGCCGCGCGAGUAUAUGUAGCGUCGCGUGGUCAUUGGUCAUCACAUUUCAUUUUCAUAAGAUAACCGAUAACCUAAAAAUUUAGUAAAAAUUUUGAUUGGAAAAAAAUGCAUCGAUAAGGCGGAUAAGGGGGUGUGGGAAAUGGAAAUUAGUGGCUUUUUUGCUGUACUGUCUGCUAGUUUUUGCUCUGGGCUCUGGCUUAAUCUCUUGUUUAAACAAUUUUAAUCAGCUGAAAGUGGCCUACAAAAAAAAACCAAGAAGGAAAUGUAUAGCCUUGUGGCUAUGAAAGGCAAAAGAGAGAUAUAAAAAGUGUAUUAGCUAGUUGGAAGAAAGUCCACAUUGUCCAUGCAUAAUAAGUUAUUACUUUAUCAACAAAUAUCAAGAAGAUAGCAGGGUCACGAGCAACAACUUCAUAAGUUCAAGAAUAUCGAGGAAAUCCAGCUCCUCGAUACUACUGGGCAAACUAGAAGAUUGAAGAGGACAAAGCAUUUUGAACUAGUUUGAGUGAUAGGUGAUAGUGAAAAACGGAGCAUAGUGCUUGUGUGCUGUGCCUGUGUAUGUUAGAAUAGUGCACGAUCUUGUUAGAUUAGAUAAGAGAUGCUAUGGGGUAAGCUCUUCAUUUUAAGAAACAGUAGUAAUUUAGGUUGAAUUAAAAUUGCUCAUUGGUCAGUUAUGUCCAGAUUGUUUUUUUAUGUUUGGCAAAAAGGACUUAAGUCAGAAUUGCACAUUGAUAAUGUUUUGAUGAUUUCUGGACCAGAAAAAAACUGUUGUAGAUGUAAACUGUAUGUACAGUAGAAUCUACUACAGUACUGUAGAAAUCAUCAAAACAUUAUCGAUGUGCAAUUCUGACUUAAGCCCUUUUUCCCAAACAUCAGAGAAUUGUAAUGUACAAUAAUUCUCCUAUCUGCUUUUUCAUGAAUUUUGUAGGAGACGAAAAACCAUUUUUAGGAUCAUCUGCUUUCACAUGUAAAUUUUGACAUGUUUUGUAGUAAAUAGAUAGUUGAAUUUACUACAAAACAUGUCAAAAAAUAUAUGAAAACAGGAGGUGACUAUAAAAAAAGUUUUUAGUCUCUCUUACAAAACUCAUGAAAAAACAAAUCGGAGGUACAGUCGGAAAAAUGAAAGAAUACCCAUGAACGAACAUAUAAAACACGCUGUAUUUUCCUGUCACCGUGUCACAAAGAAAAUUGUCCAGUGCAAGUACAUGUAACAAUAAUUUUUACAUGUACUUGCGCUGGCCAAUAUUUUGUGUGACACGGUGACAGGAAAAUACAGCGUGUUUUAUAUGUUCGUUCAUGGGUAUUCUUUAAUUUUUCCUACUGUAUGUCACAUCAGUGACUAUAUCCAGGGAAUGUCUAAAAAAUAUACUUUGAUGUCCCAAGAACCAAAUAUAACCUACAGUCCAUCUAAUUUACUUACCGUUGCACGUCAUUAUCUACGCCAGAGAUCUAAGUUGACAUAGUUGCCAAAGUAUAAAAAGAUCCUGAAUCCAUUUUAAAUCAAAUAUAUCACAUAAUUAUUGUAAACGUGGAUUAUACAACAAAACAAAUUAAUAUUCAAUGUAAAUAAGUAAAAACUUAAGAAAUAGAGAACAAGAAUUAAGUUAUAAUCUUUUAAGAUUUGCAGUGCAAGCGUUUUUGCACUGCAUUGUUAAUAAUUAAAAAACGGCUCCGAACUCUUGGCAUGAAGCCGGUAGGUUUCUUUGUAUAUGUCUACCUACAAUAACAACUAAAAAAGUUGUCAGAUACCUCGAUUAUUCCAAGUCGUGAUAAAAUUAGGUGAAAUUUAUAUUUUUAUAGUAGAGGAUGUUUUUAUAGUAAAGUAAAUAAUAAAAACAGUAAAUAUAAUAAAACAGAUACUUAUUAAUGAAUAUAAACAAAUAUGAAGUGUCAUCACCGUAACUGUCAAAUAAAUGUUACCAAUUUAUUCUAAAAUGUCACCUUCGUUCGAUUACAGUUACAGUGUGAUCCGAACAAAUCUGCUUCAUAAAAACGCUUUAUAAUCCAUUUAUACAAAUUAAAUGAAACAUAUUAUUGUGUAUUUCUUUAGGUUAACAUUAAUAGAAAUCUUCAAAUAUUAUUUCUACGCGUAUAUAAUAAAAUAUGUCUAGUGGCUGUAAUUCCAGUGUACUCAGCAAAGUGAUUCUAAAAAAGAACACACCUACCGCCUAAAUAUUUCGUGUUGGUAUCAUGCGACCUCACAGGCUACGACGCGGAUGACGCGCAACAGUUAGUAAAUUAGACGAAGUAUGUAGAUAUAUACAGGUUGUCACAAAAAUACAGGUCAUAAAUUUAAUCACAUAUUCUGGGACCAAAAAUAGUUUGAUUGGACCUAACUUACCUUAGUACAAAUUUGCACACAAGAAAAGUUACAGCCCUUUGAAGUUAUAUAUAUAUAUAAUAGCACUAAGGGCCUUAGAGGCCCAUGGCUUGAAAAGUUUGUUUUUUUUUCUUCAUUUUCACGUUUCUUUAUGUACUGAGAUCUUCUCUGGCUUGAUAUGUGAUUUUUCUCCAUUCCUUCCUGUUAUUCAUUUUUCUUUUCUGACCCUGUAGCACCAUUCUUUCCAAAUCUUUUUCGACCUCUUGCUUCCAUCUAUUUUUCGGCCUUCCUCUUCUCUUUCUUGAAGCUGUAGUGUAGUUUAGUACCAUUUUUGGAGUCCUCGUGUUUGGCAUCCUUUCAAUGUGACCUCGCCAUCUAAGUCUCUGUACCUUUAUCACUCAUUUGAAGUUACAAGAUGAAGUGAUUUUUUCCAAUAUAUCGAAAACUAUUAGAUAUUUUUUAUUGAAAAUGGACAUGUGGCAUUAUUAUGGCAGCAGUAUCUUACGAAAAAACUAUAGUAAAAUUUGGACACCCCAUAAAAAUUUUAUGGGGGUUUUGUUCCUUUAAACCCCCCCAAACUUUUGUGCACGUUUCAAUUUAAUUAUUAUUGUAGUACCAUUUAAACACAACGUUUUAAAAACUUUUUUGCCUCUUAUUGCUUUUUUUGAAAAGUCAAUUUUUAUCGAAAUAUUUUGAAUAUUUGUCAAAUCCACCACAUAUUUGUAUAUGGUUAAGUACGAUUAUGGAGACAUGGUAAUAAUAUGCA